rnacentral:snRNA from 1 species
GGAUGUGAGGGCGAUCUGGCUGCGACAUCUGUCACCCCAUUGAUCGCCAGGGUUGAUUCGGCUGAUCUGGCUGGCUAGGCGGGUGUCCCCCUCCUCCCUCACCGAUCCAUGUGCGUCCCUCCCGAAGCUGCGCGCUCGGUCGAAGAGGACGACCUUCCCCCCCGAGGAGAGGACCGGUCUUCGGUCAAGGGUAUACGAGUAGCUGCGCUCCCCUGCUAGAACCUCCAAACAAGCUCUCAAGAGUUGAAGUGUGAAGAGCAGGUGAGUCACAGACACACCUCUGGGGGAACCUCCACAG